rnacentral:rRNA from 1 species
GACGAACGCUGGCGGCGUGCUUAACACAUGCAAGUCGAACGGAAAGGCCCUGCUUUUGUGGGGUGCUCGAGUGGCGAACGGGUGAGUAACACGUGAGUAACCUGCCCUUGACUUUGGGAUAACUUCAGGAAACUGGGGCUAAUACCGGAUAGGAGCUCCUGCUGCAUGGUGGGGGUUGGAAAGUUUCGGCGGUUGGGGAUGGACUCGCGGCUUAUCAGCUUGUUGGUGGGGUAGUGGCUUACCAAGGCUUUGACGGGUAGCCGGCCUGAGAGGUUGACCGGCCACAUUGGGACUGAGAUACGGCCCAGACUCCUACGGGAGGCAGCAGUGGGGAAUAUUGCACAAUGGGCGGAAGCCUGAUGCAGCACGCCGCGUGCGGGAUGACGGCCUUCGGGUUGUAAACCGCUUUCGCCUGUGACGAAGCGUGAGUGACGGUAAUGGGUAAAGAAGCACCGGCUAACUACGUG